rnacentral:lncRNA from 1 species
CGGCGGAAGACGCCUGCGGGGCGGGUGCGGGAGCGCCUCCUGGUGGACAACGCAGCCAACAUUGAACACUUCUCUGCACCAUUGGAUAUGCAUUUACUGAGAACCUGCUGCUUAUUCAACCGGUAUUUUAUUACAGCUUGACUGCCAUGUAUAAGACAUACAAUAAACUGAACGUUUAAAAUGUACAGCUUGAUAAAUUAUGCAUUUACUGAGAACCUGCUGCUUAUUCAACCGGUAUUUUAUUACAGCUUGACUGCCAUGUAUAAGACAUACAAUAAACUGAACGUUUAAAAUGUACAGCUUGAUAAAUUAUGCAUUUACUGAGAACCUGCUGCUUAUUCAACCGGUAUUUUAUUACAGCUUGACUGCCAUGUAUAAGACAUACAAUAAACUGAAUGUUUAAAAUGUACAGUUUGAUAAGUUU